GGGAGUGGCUCAGCUUGGUAGAGCGCGUCGUUUGGGACGAUGAGGUCGCAGGUUCGAAUCCUGUCUCCC
rnacentral:tRNA from 1 species